GAUAAGAUAAGCUAAGAUUAAGCUAGUGGGCUCAUAACCCAAAAAUGAUUAUUUCCCUUAUCA
rnacentral:tRNA from 1 species